rnacentral:rRNA from 1 species
CAGCAGUAGCCACGGUAAAACGGAGGGUGCAAGCGUUAUCCGGAUUCACUGGGUUUAAAGGGUGCGUAGGCGGGCAGGUAAGUCAGUGGUGAAAUCUUCGAGCUUAACUCGGAAACUGCCGUUGAUACUAUCUGUCUUGAAUAACGUUGAGGUGAGCGGAAUAUGUCAUGUAGCGGUGAAAUGCUUAGAUAUGACAUAGAACACCGAUUGCGAAGGCAGCUCACUAAACGCUCAUUGACGCUGAGGCACGAAAGCGUGGGGAUCAAACAGGAUUAGAUACCCCCGUAGUCCCUGUCUCUUAUAC